rnacentral:rRNA from 1 species
UAGGGAAUCUUCCACAAUGGACGAAAGUCUGAUGGAGCAACGCCGCGUGAGUGAAGAAGGGUUUCGGCUCGUAAAGCUCUGUUGUUAAAGAAGAACAUAUCUGAGAGUAACUGUUCAGGUAUUGACGGUAUUUAACCAGAAAGCCACGGCUAACUACGUGCCAG